rnacentral:rRNA from 1 species
UGAGGAAUGUUGGUCAAUGGGCGAGAGCCUGAACCAGCCAAGUAGCGUGCAGGAUGACGGCCCUAUGGGUUGUAAACUGCUUUUAUGUGGGGAUAAAGUGCGUGACGUGUCAUGCAUUGCAGGUACCACAUGAAUAAGGACCGGCUAAUUCCGUGCCAGCAGCCGCGGUAAUACGGAAGGUCCGGGCGUUAUCCGGAUUUAUUGGGUUUAAAGGGAGCGUAGGCUGUCUAUUAAGCGUGUUGUGAAAUUUACCGGCUCAACCGGUGGCUUGCAGCGCGAACUGGUCGACUUGAGUAUGCAGGAAGUAGGCGGAAUUCAUGGUGUAGAGGUGAAAUGCUUAGAUAUCAUGACGAACUCCGAUUGCGCAGGCAGCUUACUGUAGCAUAACUGACGCUGAUGCUCGAAAGUGCGGGUAUCAAACAGG